rnacentral:lncRNA from 1 species
AAACUCCGUCCUCUGACCGCCUUGGACACCGGAGCAAUAUACAACCUUAAAGCCCUCAAUUACCCUACUAAGAUCAAUUAUUAAAAGUUAAUUUUGGGUCCCAAAAUUCAAUAGAAUGGUUAUUUCCCAUAAUAAAUAAACCAAAAAACUUGUUGCUUACGUGUUUCUGUGGUUCCAUUACAUACAUCGCCUUCAUCGAUGCCAGAAAAAUACCAUCGCCUAUGCCCGUCAACUAUCAGAAGGCAGCUCAAAACCAUUGGUCAGUCAUACACAAAAUUUAUGCAUAAAGACCCAUUUAUAUACUGGCCCAUCUCUCUAUCUUUCUCUAUCCAAAAGUAGAGAAAAGUUAUUUUUUGUAGAUAAUUAUCAGUAGAAAGUGGGAAUUAGGAAUUGAAGUGCAAGGGGAGUUCUUGAAUUGUCAGGAAGAAUGUGAAAUGUUGAAAGUGAAUCUGGGUUGGAAUUAAAUUUUUUUUUCUAUACGGAUCUAGAAAUUUGAAUUUCCAAAUCUUGGGUUUUGUUUUAAAUCUUUGUUUUUUUCGUGUGGGUUCAUUUGUUCUUAAUGCUACUGCUUUUCCUCUGCCAGUCAGUGUUGCACCCACUCCAAGGUGGCAGGAGGGUGGAGGAGGAUGCGGAGGAAGAGAGAAAAAAAGAUAAUUUUUAUUUUUAUUUUUAAUAUUUUAAUAAUUUAUUGG